GGGACAGAGCCAUAUAGAGAAAGAGUUGCGACAACUCCAUUGACUCCAAUGGAACGCUUUUUUUACAGCAAUGGCGGCUCGUGGAGCCUCUCAAUAGUUCCCGGAAGUAGCAGCAAACUGAUGCGCGGCGGGUAGAGAUGCAGCAGAACAAACCGUUUGCGACGCACUUUUAAAAGGUGGAGGAUUAGUGGUGCCACUGGACUGUUCUGUGAUGGAGCAUCAGUGAGGAUGCAGACCCAGGUAACUGGCUGAUGGUUCACUGGAAUGCUGACUGGCUGCUGGUUGACUGGGCAGUGUCACCUGUUCCU